rnacentral:rRNA from 1 species
ACACAUGCAAGUCGAGGGGUAACAGGAGUAGCAAUACUUGCUGACGACCGGCGCACGGGUGAGUAACGCGUAUGCAACCUACCUCUAACUGAGGAAUAGCCCGGAGAAAUCCGGAUUAAUACUUCAUAAUAUUUCGAAUUCGCAUGUUUUCGAAAUUAAAGCUUUGGCGGUUAGAGAUGGGCAUGCGUGACAUUAGUUAGUUGGUGAGGUAACGGCUCACCAAGACUGCGAUGUCUAGGGGGUCAGAGGAUGGUCCCCCACACUGGUACUGAGACACGGACCAGACUCCUACGGGAGGCAGCAGUGAGGAAUAUUGGGCAAUGGACGCAAGUCUGACCCAGCCAUGCCGCGUGCGGGAUGACUGCCCUAUGGGUUGUAAACUGCUUUUAUUUGGGAAGAAACCCCUGCCCGUGAGCGGGGCUGACGGUACCAAAAGAAUAAGCAUCGGCUAACUCCGUGCCAGCAGCCGCGGUAAUACGGAGGAUGCAAGCGUUAUCCGGAUUUAUUGGGUUUAAAGGGUGCGCAGGCGGGAAAUUAAGUCAGUGGUGAAAUCCUGCAGCUUAACUGUAGAAUUGCCAUUGAAACUGAUUUUCUUGAGUACAGUUGAGGUGGGCGGAAUGUGUAAUGUAGCGGUGAAAUGCUUAGAUAUUACACAGAGCACCGAUUGCGUAGGCAGCUCACUAAACUGUUACUGACGCUCAGGCACGAAAGCGUGGGGAGCGAACAGGAUUAGAUACCCUGGUAGUCCACGCCGUAAACUAUGAUCACUCGUUGUUGGCAAUAAACAGUCAGCGACUAAGCUAAAGCAAUAAGUGAUCCACCUGGGGAGUACGGUCGCAAGAUUGAAACUCAAAGGAAUUGACGGGGGCCCGCACAAGCGGAGGAACAUGUGGUUUAAUUCGAUGAUACGCGAGGAACCUUACCUGGGCUUGAAUGCAGAACGAUUUCCGCCGAAAGGUGGUUUCCUUCGGGCGUUUUGCAAGGUGCUGCAUGGUUGUCGUCAGCUCGUGCCGUGAGGUGUCGGGUUAAGUCCCAUAACGAGCGCAACCCCCAUCGUUAGUUGCCAUCGGGUAAUGCCGGGGACUCUAACGAAACUGCCGGUGUAAACCGUGAGGAAGGUGGGGAUGACGUCAAAUCAGCACGGCCCUUAUGUCCAGGGCUACACACGUGUUACAAUGGCCAGUACAAAGGGCAGCUACCUGGUGACAGGAUGCUAAUCUCUAAAACUGGUCUCAGUUCGGAUCGAAGUCUGCAACUCGACUUCGUGAAGGUGGAUUCGCUAGUAAUCGCGCAUCAGCAAUGGCGUGGUGAAUACGUACCCGGGCCUUGUACACACCGCCCGUCAAGCCAUGGAAGCUGGGGGUGCCUGAAGUCCGUAACCGUAAGGAGCGGCCUAGGGUAAAACUAGUGACUGGGGCUAAGUCGGAACAAGGUA